rnacentral:lncRNA from 1 species
UGACAGGACUGUUUUGCUGUCGUUUUUGUUCAUUUUGUAGUGUUCUCUUGUUUUUUUAAAUUAAAAUUCUAAUGAUGAACACAUCCUCUGCUGCACCUUGGUUCCCUCUUACAGACAGCCGUUACAGCGGCACCAUGAAGACCAAGGAGCUCUCCAAACAGGUCAAGGACAAAGUUGUGGAGUAGUACAUAUCAAGGUUGGGUUAUAAGACAUAUCCAUAACUUUGAACAUCCCACGGAGCACCAUUAAAUCCAUUGUUAAAAAAUGGAAAGAAUAUGGCACCACAACAAACUUGCCAAGAGCGGGCUGCCUACCAAAACUCACGGACCAGGCAAGGAGGGCAUUAAUCAGAGAGGCAACAAGGAGACCAAAGAUAACCCUGAAGGAGCUGCAAAGCUCUACAGCAGAGAUUGGAGUAUCUGUCUAUAGGACCACUUUAAGCCGUACACUCCACAGAGCUGGGCAUUAUGGAAGUGUCCAGAAAAAAGCCAUUGCUUAAAACCUCUUGGGGCUAGGGGGCAGUAUUUUCACAGCCGGAUGAAAAACGUACCCAAUUUAAACAGGUUACUACUCUGGCCCAGAAAAUAGAAUAUGCAUAUUAUUAGUAGAUUUGGAUAGAAAACACUCUGAAGUUUCUAAAACUGUUUGAAUGGUGUCUGUGAGUAUAACAGAACUCAUAUGGCAGGCAAAAACCUGAGAAAAAUUGAAUGAGGAAGUGGGAGAAAUUAGAAAUGUAGUUUUUCUUUUGAAUCCCUUGAAAAACUACAGUGACAUAGGAUUUACGUUGCACCUCCUAACUCUUCCAUUGGCUGUCAACAAUCUUUAGGAGCUGGUUUCAUCCGUCACCUGUUACCGGGUAGAAAAUUGUGGCUCAGUCAAUCAGUGGCCAGUCUGAGGACAGGUGUCUUGUGACGCGCAUGCACGUGACUUCGCUGUUUGUUAUUAUCCUUCUGGGAUGAAUACCUAUUUCUCGGUUGUUAAAUUAUCGCAAUUUUACAUAAAAAAAUACUCUAAAGGAUUGAUUGUAAACAUCGUUUGACAUGUUUCUACAAACGGUAAUGGAACUUUUGAACAUUUUGUCUAUGGAUUUGUGUCCACGCCAUAUGGCAUUGUAAAGUGUUCUAGAUGGGUCAACAAAACGGAUGUAUUUGGACAUAAAUGAUGUACUUUGCAGAACAAAUGAACAAUUCUUGUGGAAGUGGGUGCCCUUCCGAGUGCAUUCCGCCGAAGAUCAGCAAAGAGGCUGCCAUCCCUGCUUGAUGAGCCUGUGGCUUUUAAUAUGCCCGCUGGAUACAGUGAAGAUCUUCAAGCAGUGGAGAUGAGGAUAAUAAUGAAACUGGAGAUGAUCCGUACAGAGUUCAAGACUGCUCUGAACCAAGUUAUGGAGGCCAUAGAGGCCCGGCAGCCAAUGGAGUCAGAGUCCUUGGGGCAACUUGAAAUGCUGCAAAACCCUACAGAAACAAAUGAGGAACUGAAGG